ACCAAUCAGUGCACAUGUGUAACUGUAAAACAAUUGCCAUCAAUUCAUCAUAGUUGUAAAUUCACCGUACGGGUGAACGCUGUUAACCGGACCCCGUUAAUUGAUCGGCAUCUAAUUAUAUUUGUGAUUUCUGUGUGUUCAUGCAGAACCUGCUCUGUGAUGAACAUAAUAUUUCCACACCUCUAUAUUUUGAAUAAGAAUAUAACCGUGCUUAGAAUCGCGGUGAAAAUUGGACAAGUCAAGACUAAAUUGUCAGUAAACUAUAUAUGGCUCUAUCAUAUUUAGUUUGGCAAAAUCAUCAGUACAUGUAAUUAAAAAAUAGUUAAAGACAAAAUCUGAUACAUAUGUCUCAUUAAAACUUGUUUAAUUUCAUUAGACAUUUGUAAACAAACGGUCGGCCAUUUUUUUUUGUUAAUCACGUGUUACAAAUACAAUUGUAACAAACACACGCCAAUACUUUGUCGUAUUUAACCAGGAAAUACUGACUCCGACAGUUCUAAUUAAAAAUUGAUAUACAUGUAAAAAGUAUACUAUUCGGUAAAAAAUGAUAAUUUUGAUUAAACAUUAUUCAUUUUAAACUAUCCCAAGAUGCACUUUUCCAAGAUUUAGCGGGUUCUGAUUGGUCAGUAUUGGCGCACUUUAUGAUUCCGAGCGAAGGUUAAAAUGGACAAGAAGGUGCUGUUGUAAAAUGGAGAAUUGAGAAGCAUUAAUAGCCUCUACAACAAGGAGAUAAUGCAGGAACGACGAACUCAUGUCAAGCAUUGACAGCAUACAAAGUCAAUGUUUCCGGUGAUUAGUUGCAUCCUCUGUUCGGUGAUUCGGGUGAAUGUUUUGACCAGCUGGACGCAAGAUAAAUAGAACAGACAUAAAGUACAGCCCAGUGAAAGGAACAAGUUCAUCGCAAGAAGAAGAAUUUUAAUGCUACCACUGUCCAGAACUACUAAGUCUGCUGUAGCCAUGAUGUGAUCAUAUGAGUGCUU